rnacentral:misc_RNA from 1 species
GAUGAAGAACGUAGCGAAAUGCGAUAAGUAAUGUGAAUUGCAGAUUUCAGUGAAUCAUCGAAUCUUUGAACGCACAUUGCGCCCGCUGGUAUUCCGGCGGGCAUGCCUGUUCGAGCGUCAUUUCAACCCUCAAGCCCCCGGGUUUGGUGUUGGGGAUCGGCUCUGCCCUUCUGGGCGGUGCCGCCCCCGAAAUACAUUGGCGGUCUCGCUGCAGCCUCCAUUGCGUAGUAGCUAACACCUCGCAACUGGAACGCGGCGCGGCCAUGCCGUAAAACCCCAACUUCUGAAUGUUGACCUCGGAUCAGGUAGGAAUACCCGCUGAACUUAAGCAUAUCAAUAAGCGGAGGA